UUUUGGGAGACACUACCUCGAUAAAAAGAAUAUACAGUGUCCUCACUGCUCAGCAUUGCAUUGGAAAGCCAAAAAGUUAUCAAAUUCAUCUGUUGACCGCCCUUUCUUCGGAACAUGUUAUUGGAGAUAUAACUAAACGAUUGAAUGUAUUAGACUGCAUGAUGCCUGGAUGAUCCAUCCAUCUUAUUUUUUUGAGCUAUUGUCCUUUUUAUGCUCACAUCCAUCUUAUUUUUUGAAAAUUUAUUAGACUGCAUGAUGCCUGAAUGAUCCAUCAAUAUGUAUAUUACAAUUUUACAAAAUUCAUUUGCAUCUCUCUUUUGCUACCUUUCUCUCUAUCUAACCCUUGAAGCAAUCGAUCCAAUUUUUCCAAAUUUGAGGUUUGUGAAGAAAUUUCUUAGUUUUUGACUUUUAAGGUUUGGCUUGGUAGAUCUUUGCAGUUCGUUUGGGGACGAUUAGCCAGGGUUUUUCUAAAUUCGCAAAUUUGAUUUAUCU
rnacentral:lncRNA from 1 species